AGAGCGGGGCCACUCCCACACGUACAGUCCUCGUUCCCCUCAGCCCAGCCCUUCACGCUCCGCCCUCAGCGAUAGCCCCGCCCCUUGAGGGGCCGCCCGGGACGGGAACCCGGAGCCGUGGGGGAGGUGGAGGCGUCGGUUGUGUACGGAGCUGUGUUUGACGGACCGCGGUCGACCUUUUUCCCAGAUUUGAGCUGGUUCCUGGGGUGAGGCCUCAUAGCAGUGAGGUUCCACGUACCGUGAGAGCCCCAUCGCUAGUCUCACCGGCAUUUGACCAGGAUGCGAGCCAGGGCGAGUCAGACAAAGCCGAAGUCGGGCAGUCGCGCCUGAGAAACUCGGGGUCACCAGCCGGCUGCGGGCUCUUGGAUGUCCGGCAAGUGGCGCUGCGACACUGAAGAAAAGACGUCACGGGGAAAGUUUUCAAAUGAAUGAAAUGCUGGCAUUUAUAUGUAAAUUUUGUAUCUUAGAAGCAUUCUGACUACUGGUUGCUCUGCACCAAAAUAAAGCAGUGAUACAACUGCCUUCUGCAAGUGAGGGCACCACUGAGGCCCAGAGCAGAACCACUUCUAAGGGUCCACCACAGCUGGCAUCCUCUCAAGUCCUCUAUGCACCUAAUCAGUCCUUCAUCUGCUUGUAUCAACUCAGCUGCAACGAAUCAUUAUAUUAUACCCGUCACAGAAAAGGAAUUCCGUAAGGAAACAUAAUUGCCUGUUAAACACACAUUUAUUUAUUUUUUAUUCUUUCUGAAGAUCCACUUCUAAAGUACGUUAAAAUGAAGGAAAAUUCUAAAUACCUGUGAAGCUCACAUACGUGAUAAUGUCCUUGGAUCAGAGCUUUCUUGUCCCAAGCAAGGCAAAAAAAGAAAAUAAAAGUCUGCAUUGUGUGGUUGUGGGGAUGACGUCAAAACUAAAGCAAAACUAUAGAAAAACAUUAAAUUUUGCAAAACCAGAGUUAUAAAUACUGAUACAAAGAAGAGAGACAUAAUUAUGUUUUUUAAAUGUGAAAUCAUUGACAAGUUUGUACAAGACAAAGCAAUAUAUGCAAAAGAAUGUCAUUAAGGUGGUAAAAUCUGUGGAGGGUAGCUUUUACUCUAAAAUUGCGAUAUAAGGCUAUAUCUACGAAGGACCAAGGAAAUAGCAUAGUUUAUACAAGUGAAAACAAAAGCCUUCUACAAGACAAAAAGACAUUAGUUUCUGUUUUAUUUUUUAUAUCCAACAAUACUCCCUGUGCCUCCUUUGUAGAAGGCUAUUGUCCCUUUCAGACAUUAUUUUUUUCUCAGUAUUCCUUUCUGUUACAUCAAGUGGUCCUAGCCAGAUAAUGAAGUCCUUCUCUAAGGCCUUCCCAACUAGAGCCAGAGGAAAUAUUGCCAUUUGGACUUAAUGAUGUUUCCUUGGAAUACCGCAAAACUGGGGCUUCAAACCACUGACCAUCUCAUUUAGAAACUGGGAAGAAAAUGAAGGUGCCAUGAAGGGAAAACAACUAGGUGUUUGAAAAAUGGUCUGGUAAUACAACUGGUAGUAUAACCGGAGAAUUCAUGAUCUCGUUUGAUUUCCUGGAUCCAUUAAUGGCUAGAACAAUCUUCCUCUUCUCAAUUAUCAGAGGUAAAAGAUUACAUUGGAGAGACCAGACCUAACUUGGAUCUCUUUAUUUUUUGUACCCAAAAGAGUUUGGACUCACCUUCUUACUUCACAGAAUUAUUGUAUAGAGUUAGUGAAGUCUAAAACAAGAAUAAGAGAUUACUUUGAUAAAGAUAAAGCACAUGUUAACUUUACAAAUGCCAUUUUAUUCUGUGAACUAUAUAAUCUGUUAAGUAUAGAAAAAGCAUGCAUGGUGACUUUUGAAAGCCUUUAAAAAACAUUUACAAAGAUCAUAUUACCAGGGUUUGCUCAAAUUUCCGGCUUACUGAUUUGGUCUCCUCACUUGUUGGGAUUAGAGGCAUACACCACACCACCUGGCUGGCCUGAACUUUUACUGGCAAUCUUGGAAAUGAAUAAAAUCAUAUUGCAAUGCA